UGAACGCUGGCGGCGUGGAUAAGACAUGCAAGUCGAACGAGAAAACUGAUUAGUUUACUAAGAUGUUUUCUAGUGGCGGACGGGUUAGUAACACGUGAGCAACUUGCCUCGAAGCGGGGGAAAGCCUUCCGAAAGGGAGAUUAAUACCGCAUGUGGCCCCCUUUUAUUAGGGUGGUUAAAGGUGCCUUCGGGUAUCGCUUCGAGAUGGGCUCGCGGCCUAUCAGCUUGUUGGUGAGGUAAUGGCUCACCAAGGCUACGACGGGUAGCUGGUCUGAGAGGACGAUCAGCAACACUGGAACUGAGACACGGUCCAGACGCCUACGGGUGGCAGCAGUCGAGUAUCAUUCACAAUGGGGGCAACCCUGAUGGUGCAACGCCGCGUGGAGGAUGAAGGCCCUAGGGUCGUAAACUCCUGUCAUAUGAGAGUAAGGCAUAUGUGUUAAUACCAUGUAUGUUUGAUAGUAUCAUAAGAGGAAGGGACGGCUAACUUCGUGCC
rnacentral:rRNA from 1 species